rnacentral:rRNA from 1 species
UCUUAAUCUCAGAUCAGGCAGGAUGACCCGCUGAACUUAAGCAUAUCAGUAAGCGGAGGAAAAGAAACUAACCAGGAUUCCCUUAGUAACGGCGAGUGAAGCGGGAAUAGCCCAAUCUGAAAAGCUAGUCAGCCCUGGAGCUGGUCUCGCAUUGUAGGUUGAUGAAUCGUUUCCUAGUGUUAAACCUUUCAAUUAAAGUUCCUUGGAACAGGACAUCAAAGAGGGUGAUAAUCCCGUGAUUAAUUGAAUGACAUACCAGUUUAAUGCGUCUAUGGAGCGUUUUCUUAGAGUCGGAAUGUUUGGGAUUGCAUUCCAAAGUGGGUGGUAAACUCCAUCUAAGGCUAAAUACUGGCGAGAGACCGAUAGCGAACAAGUACCGUGAGGGAAAGUUGAAAAGCACUCUGGAGAGAGAGUCAAACAGUACGUGAAAUUGCUAGCAGGGAAACGUUGGAUACCAGUACACGGCAAUUAAUGUCAAUGAUCAGU